CACCUGAUCCCAUCUCGAACUCAGAAGUGAAACGCAAUUGCGCCGAUGGUAGUGUGGGGUCUCCCCAUGUGAGAGUAGGUCAUUUCCAGGC
rnacentral:rRNA from 1 species